rnacentral:rRNA from 1 species
CCAGAGAACUUUCCAGAGAUGGAUUGGUGCCUUCGGGAACUCUGAGACAGGUGCUGCAUGGCUGUCGUCAGCUCGUGUUGUGAAAUGUUGGGUUAAGUCCCGCAACGAGCGCAACCCUUAUCCUUUGUUGCCAGCGGUCCGGCCGGGAACUCAAAGGAGACUGCCAGUGAUAAACUGGAGGAAGGUGGGGAUGACGUCAAGUCAUCAUGGCCCUUACGAGUAGGGCUACACACGUGCUACAAUGGCGCAUACAAGAGAAGCGACCUCGCGAGAGCAAGCGGACCUCAUAAAGUGCGUCGUAGUCCGGAUUGGAGUCUGCAACUCGACUCCAUGAAGUCGGAAUCGCUAGUAAUCGUGGAUCAGAAUGCCACGGUGAAUACGUUCCCGGGCCUUGUACACACCGCCCGUCACACCAUGGGAGUGGGUUGCAAAAGAAGUAGGUAGCUUAACCUUCGGGAGGGCGCUUACCACUUUGUGAUUCAUGACUGGGGUGAAGUCGUAACAAGGUAAGCGUAGUGCU